AACAGAGCAGGUCCUUCAUUUCUACGCAAGACCUGGACCUCACCCACACUCGUGAUCUAGAGCUUUGGACUCCUCGAGCCAAGAGCUAAUGAAUUCAGUACCAGAGCAUUCACCAAUACGUGACUUGACUCUAUCGCAUCCGCGCGAGACGCGCACCUGACAAACGCACGCGCAGUUCAGUUCCCCUCAGUUGCCAGGGUUGCAGGCGGCUAAAUCCGUUAUAACUGCUGCAGGCUCAGAGAUCUCUAAAUCUCCGGCCUUGGGUUAUUGACAUUUCCCUUUUUAAUUCCCUCUCGGAGGAGGCUGAGGGGCACGAGAGAAACCAGCGAGUUCUCCCUCCCUGCCCAGAAGCCUGUUUCUGGGAUGAAGAUUUUCUAUUUCGUCAAGAAGAAACAGCAGUUUCAAGCUGCCGAAUUUCUUUGGGGUCACAACAUCCAACUACAUCCCAGGAUACGUGAUCUACAGCAAGGACCUCCGAAAGAUCCACAAAGCGGCUUUGUUAGGGGAUGUGGCCAAAGUGCAGCAUCUACUGCUGUUUGGAAAACACGAAGUGAAUGAUGUGGCUAGAGAGAAGAGAUGCUUUGAAAUGGGAUUCUCCAAGUAAUAAUCAGAAAAAACGAGUCACAGAAUUUCCAAGAAUUAAAAGUUUCAAAGGAAUUAUCCUUGCAAAUCACUGCCACUGAGUAACAAUCAGUUAACAUCCACAGAAUUUGGAAAGAGUCCAUUAAAAGAAGAUGAUCAGCUGCAGCUGGGAGUGGUCCUGACACUGACUAUAAGGUUGGAGUUCAAGUAGAAAAACUAGUUCCCCAGAAGCAGUGUAAACCACCUUUAGGAAAAGAGAAAUGGAAAGAACAUAAGAAAGAACGGCCCUUAUGAUUGCUGUCACUAAGGAAUCAACAGGCUUGGUCACUCUUCUUCUUCACCAUAAUGCUGAUCACACUAUUCAAGAUGUGUAUGGAUGGACAGCUGAGCUGUAUGCUAAGCAAUAUGGUUAUCCUCUACUUACUUAUCAUCAACAAAUUGAAAAUCAGAAAGAGUGUAAUAAGCCCAGCACAUCUCAAAUCAGCUGUUCAGAACAAGCCUCUGGGGUUAAAUUUCCUUUGGGUGUACCAUUCCUGCACAAAAAAGGUAGAACUGAAAAACCCAAAUAAAUAGUUACUUAAAAAAAAUAAGAGCAAUCUUAAAAUUCAUACAUACUCUAUUUUUCUAUUUCCAUUUUCUAUUUUAAAACAAUAGGAACUGGUUUAUCUUUGGUUAAUGAAUUAAUUACCAAGUUGAGGUCUACUACCCUGGAAGUGCAAAAACAAUGUUUGUGUUACUUUUAUCUGCUUUAUCUCCCCCAAAAUGUUAGGCUAAACUAUCAAUUUUCUGAUUUAUAAAUUAUUGUACAAAUGUCUAACCAAAUUAUUCUACAUAUGUUAAACCAAAAUAACCAAAUGAUUUAACCCAAAGUGAAAAUUCUUUACCACUUAAAAUAUUAAGUGUAACAUUAGGUAAUAUGAUGGUUUUUAUGCUUCAAUGUGGGCUAAAUAAAUAAUGCCAUUACUUAUGAUUUAAUAUAAAUAGAAAGACUGAUUGAUAGAUAAAACAAUCAAACAGCAGAAGAGGAGAAUCUUCAUUCUUUUUUGGCAUUCUCUAAAUCACUUAUCCAAGCUUUGGAAACACAUUUUAAAUGUUUUCAAAAUUUUACAAUGUUCAUAAAGCUUUCUCUCAAUACAAACUAAUGAAAAUGAAAAAGUCAUAAUAAUUGGGACCAGGGUAAUUGAAAGGUAAUUCAUACGAUCGUACUUUUUCUGCGGAUAUUUGCAUACAUGCCCACCUCCAACUUGAUCCUAAGAAAACUUUGCACUCUUCUGAUUCAGAUAGUUAAACUUUAGAAGAGAGAGCAUUUUCUAGUUGAGCUUCUAACACUUUAACCUGCUAACUGGGCCAUUUGAUAACUUAAUAACCUAGGCUUGCAAUAAUAAAUUCAUCUCACCUGUAUAAGAUUAUUAUUUUUUUCAUAUCCAUUUUAUCCAUUACCACAUGAGAAAGAUAGUAUGGGUAUUUUGGUAAUUCCUACUUAAAUGGUGGUGAAAGCAGAAAACUUAAAUGACUUCCUUAAUAGGAUAGAGUGAUCAAGCACUUUUAAUACUUGGGCAUUACACUAUCAGAAGGAGAUGGGUUAUAUAAUUCCUUCCUUAUGGAAGAAAUGAGAAAUCACAAUGGCAAAAAAAGCAGUAUUUAAUUUUAAGUAUAGCUUACUACUGCCUAAAAAUAUUCUUUAAAUAUUUUUAAAUCUUAUUCCUAGUGAUAUGAAAAUUGAUCAUCACUUUUCCUUAUUUUAUUAAUUUGUAAAAUAGUAGAUUUCUAGCUACAUAUGUAAAAUUAUUGUGACAGGCAUUUAAAGGGAUAAAGUGAAGUUCUAUUCAUCAAAAUCUAGUAUUAUAUUUUAUCAUGUUAAUUAGAUAUAAACAUUUUAAACAGUUUUAAAAAUUCCUAAUCCAAUUUUAAUAAAAAUGACUAUAUUAAUAAUCUCAUUGACAAUGGGGUAUCAGUGAA
ensembl:lncRNA